AUCUAAGUCCAUAUCACCCUGAAUGUGCCCAAUCUCAUCUGAUCUCAGAAGCUAAGCAGGGUCAGGCCUGGUUAGUACUUGGAUGGGAGACAGGCCUUCAGAAGAGACAGCUCAGAGACAAGCAGUUUGGAGA
rnacentral:rRNA from 1 species